AACCGGACAAGCCGUCGGGACUACAAGAGAAAAAGCAGCCACAAGGAUUUUCCUACAUGGUCCUUAGGAAUAAGUACCAUUUCUUUUACAUUGUGAGAGUUCCUAUUUAGGGGGGGAUUUUUUUGUUAUACUGGGGCAAUAAAUGUUAUAGAGUUACACUAUAUCUCUUUCUUUUUUUGCCUUAGGAAUUUCCAAGUACUCCUCUGGGUUUCCAUUUACUAUUACAGAUUUUGGACUCUCCCCCAUAGGAUCCUACAUGACAAUCCAAUAGAUUUUGGACUUUUCAGAGACAUAUGUUUAU